rnacentral:rRNA from 1 species
GACGAACGCUGGCGGCGUGCUUAACACAUGCAAGUCGAACGGAAAGGCCCUGCUUUUGUGGGGUGCUCGAGUGGCGAACGGGUGAGUAACACGUGAGUAACCUGCCCUUGACUUUGGGAUAACUUCAGGAAACUGGGGCUAAUACCGGAUAGGAGCUCCGGCUGAAGGGUGGGGGUGGGAAAGUUUCGGCGGUUGGGGAUGGACUCGCGGCUUAUCAGCUUGUUGGUGGGGUAGUGGCUUACCAAGGCUUUGACGGGUAGCCGGCCUGAGAGGGUGACCGGCCACAUUGGGACUGAGAUACGGCCCAGACUCCUACGGGAGGCAGCAGUGGGGAAUAUUGCACAAUGGGCGGAAGCCUGAUGCAGCAACGCCGCGUGCGGGAUGACGGCCUUCGGGUUGUAAACCGCUUUCGCCUGUGACGAAGCGUGAGUGACGGUAAUGGGUAAAGAAGCACCGGCUAACUACGUG